rnacentral:rRNA from 1 species
AUCGAACGCUGGCGGCAGGCUUAACACAUGCAAGUCGAGCGAGCCGCGGACGGGUGUGAUAUGUCGGUGAAACUGCCUGAUGGUGGGGGUCAACUUCUGGAAACGGUUGUUAAUACCGCAUAGCAUCAGAUGUGCGCAGAUGGGAUUAGCUAGUAGGUGGGGUAAUGGUUCACUUAGGCGACGAUCCCUAGCUGGCCUGGGAGGAUGACCAGCGGCACUGGAAAUGUGACACGGUCCAGACGCCUACGGGAGGCAGCAGUGGGAAAUAUUGCAGAAUGUGCACAAGCCUGAUGCGGCCAUGCCGCGUGUGUGGAGAGGGCCUUCGGGUUGUAAGGCUCUUUAAGCGAGUAGGCGUUACUCGCAGAAGAAGCGCCGGCUAACUCCGUGCCAGCAGCCGCGGUAAUAC